rnacentral:rRNA from 1 species
AGGAGAGUUUGAUCCUGGCUCAGGAUGAACGCUGGCGGCGUGCUUAACACAUGCAAGUCGAACGGACUUUGCUCGCUGAAAAAGGAAGGUGCUUGCACCGGAGAGUUUCUUGAGGAAAGUUAGUGGCGGACGGGUGAGUAACGCGUGGGUAACCUGCCUAUCACAGGGGGAUAACAGUUGGAAACGACUGCUAAUACCGCAUAAGCGCACGGUAUCGCAUGAUACAGUGUGAAAAACUCCGGUGGUGAUAGAUGGACCCGCGUCUGAUUAGCUAGUUGGCGAGGUAACGGCCCACCAAGGCGACGAUCAGUAGCCGAACUGAGAGGUUGACCGGCCACAUUGGGACUGAGACACGGCCCAAACUCCUACGGGAGGCAGCAGUGGGGAAUAUUGCACAAUGGGGGGAACCCUGAUGCAGCGACGCCGCGUGAGUGAUUGAAGUAUUUCGGUAUGUAAAGCUCUAUCAGCAGGGAAGAAAAUGACGGUACCUGACUAAGAAGCCCCGGCUAACUACGUGCCAGCAGCCGCGGUAAUACGUAGGGGGCAAGCGUUAUCCGGAUUUACUGGGUGUAAAGGGAGCGUAGGUGGCAAUGCAAGUCAGAAGUGAAAACCCAGGGCUUAACUUUGGGAUUGCUUUUGAAACUGUGUAGCUAGAGUGCAGGAGGGGUAAGCGGAAUUCCUAGUGUAGCGGUGAAAUGCGUAGAUAUUAGGAAGAACACCGGUGGCGAAGGCGGCUUACUGGACUGUAACUGACACUGAGGCUCGAAAGCGUGGGGAGCAAACAGGAUUAGAUACCGGGGUAGUCCCCU